rnacentral:rRNA from 1 species
UGGAGGCAGCAGUGGGGAAUUUUUCGCAAUGGGGGAAACCCUGACGAAGCAACGCCGCGUGGAGGAUGAAGGCCUUCGGGUCGUAAACUCCUGUCGACCGGGACGAAAGCCAUCCGACCCAAUACGUCGGGUAGUCGACUGUACCGGUGGAGGAAGCCACGGCUAACUCUGUGCCAGCAGCCGCGGUAAUACAGAGGUGGCAAGCGUUGUUCGGAAUUACUGGGCGUAAAGGGCGCGUAGGCGGCCUCAUAAGUCCUGUGUGAAAUCCCCCGGCUCAACCGGGGAACUGCACAGGAAACUGCGAGGCUUGAGUUCGGGAGAGGGAAGCGGAAUUCCGGGUGUAGCGGUGAAAUGCGUAGAUAUCCGGAGGAACACCGGUGGCGAAGGCGGCUUCCUGGACCGACACUGACGCUGAGGCGCGAAAGCCAGGGGAGCAAACGGGAUUAGAUACCCCGGUAGU